UACGUAGGGUCCGAGCGUUUGUCCGGAAUUAUUGGGCGUAAAGAGCUCGUAGGCGGUUUGUCGCGUCUGCUGUGAAAUCCCGAGGCUCAACCUCGGGCCUGCAGUGGGUACGGGCAGACUGGAGUGCGGGUAGGGGAGAAUGGAAUUCCUGGUGUAGCGGUGAAAUGCGUAGAGAUCUGGAGGAACACCGAUGGCGAAGGCAGCCUUCUGGGCCAACACUGACGCUCAUGCACGAAGCGUGGGGAGCAAACAGG
rnacentral:rRNA from 1 species